rnacentral:lncRNA from 1 species
GGGGGACCCCCUUCAGCCCCAGGCCCGGAAAGAGGCCGGAGCGGUCUCUCCGCACGCUCCUGUAGGGGAGGGAGCAGGGCCGGCCCCAAGCAGAGGGCGAUUACUGAGAGAUGGGGCGGGGGAGAGCUGAAAUCGAGAGGUCGCCCUCCCCCCACAUCCCCCGCCACAUCCAUAGCCACACUGGACUUAUUAUUGUUCCCUCGGCCAGCUGUCCCUCCCUCUGGGCCCCUCAGGGCGUCUCUCCCUGUCGGUGCCCCCCCGCCCCGCCCCCCGCGCCGCGCCUGCAUUUUUCUCCCCUCGGAGAGCUCUGCGGUCCGGCGCUCCGUAGAAACGCUCUCUCGGGCCCCUCUUCUCCUGCCCGGCUCGGCCCGCACUGGCCUCCUCCCGCCGGGCGUGCUCUUGGGACCCCGGGGAGCACAGCCCCGCCGGGUGGUCGGGCAGGAGGCGGCGGCCGAGGGGGCCCCGGGCUCCGUGGAGACCAUUACCGUAGGGGUGGGAAAGAGGCCCGGCGGAGGGCGGGGGCUCCAAGGACGGGGUAACCUGGAGUCAUCCCUCCGGUCCUCUCCGCCCAUUAGCCCAGCUAGCCCGUCACCGCCCUCCGGAGCAGCGAGGACAGCGAGGCUCGCCCUCCCCCGCAGGCCUUUAGGGGCUCCUCGGGGGGGAGAAGGGACGGCGCUCCCGCCUCAGCUCAAGCUUCCCUUCCACAGGAAAGCUGGGCCGGGGGCCAGGGUGGGAGGGGUUGGCGGUCCUCUCUUUAGCCCCCUCGGCGACAGCCCCGGACCUUCCUGGUCCCCUCUCAUCCGGGACCGGCCUCCCGCGCUUUACCUCCUUCCUUCGGCCGGCCGCGGCUCCUCGGGGUCGCGGGUGCCCUGUCUCUUCGAGCCGGCGUGAGGGCGAGGGUGAGAGCAUGCAGCGGCGCCCCAGAACCCGAACUCGCACUCACACAUCCACGCCUCCUCGUGACGUCACGGAGCAGGUGGGCGGGGCGGGGCCGGGGCUCGGCCUGCGGGCUUAAAGAGACCCGGAGCCUUUCUGCUCCUCCGGCCCGGCCUCUUGGGCAGCUGGCUUCGGGCUCUGCGGCUCUGAUGAUGCCCGCUCGUCCUGUGCUCCGAGGGGCCUUCCUGGCCGUCCGUGGCGCCUCUGCAUUUGCCUCUGGGAAUCAGAGACCCUGCCAUCGGGCACUGGCCGAGGCUCCUGCGGGCCGCCCCGGCCAGCAGUCACUUCCUUGGCAUCCCUGAGCAGGGUGCUGCCCCCUCUGUGCUGCUGAAAUGUGCCUGGGCUCCUCCAGCCCUCCACGGCCUCGCUUUCAUUCUCCCCAUUGCCCAGAGCCAAUCAGCUGCCAAGUUUCGCCGGCGCUCUAGUGACCUUGGCUCUGCUGUCGGGUCCUCGCUGGCCUUUCUUUCUCCGGCCUCUCCCUCUCCCCCAGACCCUGCUCUGACCCAGCCGCCGUACUCUCACAGCUCGGGCGGCUCCCUAUUGCUGGGAGGAUCAAAUAGUUCAAGGCCUUCGUGGGCAGCUUCCUUCAGUGUUCUUCAGAGAUUUCCCACCCUGGGCCGAGAGGUCCCCUUCUUCCUUCCUUCUGCCUUUUUGUUCCGCCUCUCUAGCCUUCCUUGGCAGUCGGUCUAGCUUCAUGCUUGAAGUCACCCCCGCCCCAUCCUAAGCCCUCCUCCAAGACUCAAUGCCAGGGGCAGCUGGUGGCCUCAGACACUUCCGAGCUGGGCGACUGGCCCAGUGACAGCCCCUGUUACGGGGACUCUUCUUUCGGCCUUGGAACCAAUCUCAGUGGGAAGGAAGGGCUUUCUGACCUUCCGUUCAAGCGCUGUCCCCUUGGCUGGUGUCCCCCCGACUGUUGGCCCUCCCCUUCGCCAUCACUCUUCACUUCCCCUUGGGCUUCUUCAGGAACCUCCUGUCUCCUUCUGGUCCCGGGACUACUUCAUUUUGCCCUUGUCUCUCUGGUCUCAGCUAAAAGUGGCCCUCCUACAGGAGUCCUGGCCCGUCUAGAGCCUCCCCUCUGGGGACUGUCCCACUUGGCUCUUAUGGGAUUUGUUUGCUGUGUCUUCCCUGUUCCGUGGAGAGCUUCUCGGGGGCAGCCCUUCCCCCUGAGCUAAGUCAAGGGAUGCUGCUGUGGCCUCUAGGCUUGAUGCAGGAAGUGGAUUCUACAGCGCCCCUUUCUAGCCGGCGGCUCCCACCUCCUCCAGUUCCCUUGUCUCUGAGCCGUCCUGGUCCCUCCUGGCCCCUGCAAAGUGUCCCUGAACAGUCUAUGGACGUCUUGCUGGAUUCCGGGGUUCCUGGUCUCCCUUCUCAGGGAGGGCGUCCUUAAGGCUACCUUUCAAAGGCCAGAAAGCAAUCUCCGCCUAAACGCCCUGCCCGGUAUGGUGCUUGUGGUCCCCUCUGCCCCGGGUUCCCAGUUUGGAGACCUAGUCAUGAGCAGAGAAGUUGUGGCCGGAGCACCCUUCCGCUCCCUGCGCUAGUCAUUAGCCUCUGAGCAAAACUCUAACUCGCAGGAGAGAGAACAAGGGCUGCCAAGCCAAGCUACCUUCUCAGGCCACAUCACAGAUUCGCAGAAGUCUCCGAGAGGGAAGAGACCGACAUUUUGGCCACCUGGCCUCCUCUUCCUCAUCACAAGAGCUGAGGCCAUAAAGGCUUGCCUUCUGCCUUCUUAUUGGGCACAUGCUAAGGCCUAGAGGAGGAGGAUGCUUCCCCAAGGUCACUGCGGAGGAGAGCCAGUUGGAGCCCAGGGCGUCUGACGCCAUCCUCCAACGCCAUUGCUUUACAGCAGGCCUCAAGAUCACAUGCUCGGGGACAACAGAACCAAAGUCCAGCCCUUCCCUCUCCCAGACACUGCUCUUGCCACUCUGCAGGGCAAAAGCUGCUGAUUUGGGGUUUUAUUCAGACAAAUUUACAUCUGCUGUGAUGGGGGAAAAAACUUCCAUUUCACAUAGACUAGACUGGCCUGCCUCAGUUUCCUGAACUGUAAAAUGGGGAUAGUAACAGCACCCACAUCAAGGGUUGUUAUGAGAUAUUUGUAAAGUAUAGUGCAUAGUGCCUGGCAGCACAUAGUAGAUAUUAUAUAAAUGCAUUUUCCUUUCGCAUUCCUAGUAUCUCUCCCUCUUUUUCACCCCAGUCCCAGGACUUACUUGGGAUUUAGCUACAGGGUUACAACUUGAAUAACUGACAGAAUUCCCAGUCACCUAAGCUUUGAUAGCUUAAAGCCAUCCUGACCUUCAGAACCUUCUAUAUGAAAGUCUAUAUGAAAGACUCCCCAAGUAUUGGGGCCCCUCAGGCUCAGCCCACCUGCUGACCAGGUACACCAACAUGGGAAACUUCGGGGUAAUGAGGAAGGACUUGGGGUCUCUAAAUCCAUCUCCUCAUUCAUUAUUCACCAGUCAGAGAUGACUUGGGAUGUCCAAGGGGGGAACUGAAUAAUGAGGUCCCAGAUUGGAUUUAUAGACCAGUGUCAAAGAACUUCCUGGUCUUUGAUCAUCAAGAGGAUCACCAACCCAUUAAUUAAUCAGUUAAAUGCUAGCUUAAUCAAUAAAUUAAUAUUUUUCUCCCCCCA